rnacentral:rRNA from 1 species
AUAAUACUCCAUUAGAAUAGAGACACUGGAAUGUUCUGUAGUCGAAAGUUCUGGCGCCUUAGGAUGGAUCUGCGGUCGAUUAGGUUGUUGUUGGGGUAACGGCCCAACAAGCCUGUAAUCGAUACGGGUUGUGGGAGCAAGAGCCCGGAGAUGGAAUCUGAGACACGAUUCCAGGCCCUACGGGGCGCAGCAGGCGCGAAAACUUUACAAUGCAGGAAACUGUGAUAAGGGAACUCCGAGUGCCCGUAUACGCGGGCUGUCCAGGUGUUUAAAAAUCAUCUGAAGAAAGGGCCGGGCAAGACCGGUGCCAGCCGCCGCGGUAAUACCGGCGGCUCGAGUGGUGGCCACUAUUAUUGGGCUUAAAGCGUCCGUAGCUGGACCGAUAAGUCUCUUGGGAAAUCCGCCGGCUCAACCGGCGGGCGUCUAAGGGAUACUGUUAGUCUAGGGACCGGGAGAGGUGAGAGGUACUCCGGGGGUAGGAGUGAAAUCCUGUAAUCCCCGGGGGACCACCGAUGGCGAAGGCAUCUCACCAGAACGGCUCCGACAGUGAGGGACGAAAGCUGGGGGAGCGAACCGGAUUAGAUACCCGGGUAGUCCCAGCCGUAAACUAUGCGCGUUAGGUGU